rnacentral:rRNA from 1 species
GAGAUAGAUCAGGCCUUCGGGACAGAAGAGACAGGUGGUGGCAUGGUUGUCGUCAGCUCGUGUCGUGAGAUGUUGGUUAAGUCCCGCAACGAGCGCAACCCUUAUCAUUAGUUGCUAACAUUCAGUUGAGAACUCUAAUGAGACUGCCAGUGAUAAACUGGAGGAAGGUGGGGAUGACGUCAAAUCAUCAUGCCCCUUAUGACCUGGGCUACACACGUGCUACAAUGGCCGGUACAAAGAGUUGCGAAACUGUGAAGUUAAGCUAAUCUCAUAAAGCCGGUCUCAGUUCGGAUUGUAGUCUGCAACCCGACUACAUGAAGUCGGAAUCGCUAGUAAUCGCGAAUCAGAAUGUCGCGGUGAAUACGUUCUCGAGUCUU